GUGAGGAAUUUUCCACAAUGGGCGAAAGCCUGAUGGAGCAAUACCGCGUGGAGGAAGACGGUCUGUGGAUCUUAAACUCCUUUUCUCAGGGAAGAAUAAAUGACGGUACCUGAGGAAUAAGCACCGGCUAACUAUGUGCCAGCAGCCGCGGUAAUACAUAGGGUGCAAGCGUUAUCCGGAAUGAUUGGGCGUAAAGCGUCUGUAGGUGGUUUAAAAAGUCUACUGUCAAAUACGAUGGCUCAACCAACGGCAGGCAGUAGAGUACUAUUAAACUAGAGUUUGGUAGAGGUAGAGGGAAUCCCUAGCGUAACAGUGAAAUGUGUAGAUUUUAGGGAGAACACCAGCGGCGAAGGCGCUCUACUGGGCCAAUACUGACACUGAGAGACGAAAGCUAAGGGAGCGAAUAGG
rnacentral:rRNA from 1 species